rnacentral:rRNA from 1 species
GAAUGCUGACAUAAGUAACGAUAAAGCGGGUGAAAAGCCCGCUCGCCGGAAGACCAAGGGUUCCUGUCCAACGUUAAUCGGGGCAGGGUGAGUCGACCCCUAAGGCGAGGCCGAAAGGCGUAGUCGAUGGGAAACGGGUUAAUAUUCCCGUACUUGGUGUUACUGCGAAGGGGGGACGGAGAAGGCUAUGUUGGCCGGGCGACGGUUGUCCCGGUUUAAGCGUGUAGGUGUGUGUUCCAGGUAAAUCCGGUUCACUUUAACACUGAGGCGUGAUGACGAGGCACUACGGUGCUGAAGCAACAAAUGCCCUGCUUCCAGGAAAAGCCUCUAAGCAUCAGGUAACAUCAAAUCGUACCCCAAACCGACACAGGUGGUCAGGUAGAGAAUACCAAGGCGCUUGAGAGAACUCGGGUGAAGGAACUAGGCAAAAUGGUGCCGUAACUUCGGGAGAAGGCACGCUGACAUGUAGGUGAAGUGAUUUACUCAUGGAGCUGAAGUCAGUCGAAGAUACCAGCUGGCUGCAACUGUUUAUUAAAAACACAGCACUGUGCAAACACGAAAGUGGACGUAUACGGUGUGACGCCUGCCCGGUGCCGGAAGGUUAAUUGAUGGGGUCAGCGCAAGCGAAGCUCCUGAUCGAAGCCCCGGUAAACGGCGGCCGUAACUAUAACGGUCCUAAGGUAGCGAAAUUCCUUGUCGGGUAAGUUCCGACCUGCACGAAUGGCGUAAUGAUGGCCAGGCUGUCUCCACCCGAGACUCAGUGAAAUUGAACUCGCUGUGAAGAUGCAGUGUACCCGCGGCAAGACGGAAAGACCCCGUGAACCUUUACUAUAGCUUGACACUGAACAUUGAGCCUUGAUGUGUAGGAUAGGUGGGAGGCUUUGAAGUGUGGACGCCAGUCUGCAUGGAGCCGACCUUGAAAUACCACCCUUUAAUGUUUGAUGUUCUAACGUGGACCCGUAAUCCGGGUUGCGGACAGUGUCUGGUGGGUAGUUUGACUGGGGCGGUCUCCUCCUAAAGAGUAACGGAGGAGCACGAAGGUUGGCUAAUCCUGGUCGGACAUCAGGAGGUUAGUGCAAUGGCAUAAGCCAGCUUGACUGCGAGCGUGACGGCGCGAGCAGGUGCGAAAGCAGGUCAUAGUGAUCCGGUGGUUCUGAAUGGAAGGGCCAUCGCUCAACGGAUAAAAGGUACUCCGGGGAUAACAGGCUGAUACCGCCCAAGAGUUCAUAUCGACGGCGGUGUUUGGCACCUCGAUGUCGGCUCAUCACAUCCUGGGGCUGAAGUAGGUCCCAAGGGUAUGGCUGUUCGCCAUUUAAAGUGGUACGCGAGCUGGGUUUAGAACGUCGUGAGACAGUUCGGUCCCUAUCUGCCGUGGGCGCUGGAGAACUGAGGGGGGCUGCUCCUAGUACGAGAGGACCGGAGUGGACGCAUCACUGGUGUUCGGGUUGUCAUGCCAAUGGCACUGCCCGGUAGCUAAAUGCGGAAGAGAUAAGUGCUGAAAGCAUCUAAGCACGAAACUUGCCCCGAGAUGAGUUCUCCCUGAGACUUUAGGUCUCCUGAAGGAACGUUGAAGACGACGACGUUGAUAGGCCGGGUGUGUAAGCGCAGCGAUGCGUUGAGCUAACCGGUACUAAUGAACCGUGAGGCUUAACCUUACA